GCGGCCCGAAAUCGUAGGACUUCCGAAAGCAGCGGCGGCGUUUGCUUCACUGCUUGGAAGUGUGAGUGCGCGAAGAUGCGAAAGGUGGUUUUGAUUACCGGGGCUAGCAGUGGCAUUGGCCUGGCCCUCUGCAAGCGGCUGCUGGCGGAAGAUGAUGAGCUUCAUCUGUGUUUGGCGUGCAGGAAUAUGAGCAAGGCAGAAGCUGUCUGUGCUGCUCUGCUGGCCUCUCACCCCACUGCUGAGGUCACCAUUGUCCAGGUGGAUGUCAGCAACCUGCAGUCAUUCUUCCGGGCCUCCAAGGAACUUAAGCAAAGUUGCAGGUUUCAGAGAUUAGACCGUAUAUAUCUAAAUGCUGGGAUCAUGCCUAAUCCACAACUAAAUAUCAAAGCACUUCUCUUUGGCCUCUUUUCAAGAAAAGUGAUUCAUAUGUUCUCCACAGCUGAAGGCCUGCUGACCCAGGGUGAUAAGAUCACUGCUGAUGGACUUCAGGAGGUGUUUGAGACCGAUGUCUUUGGCCAUUUUAUCCUGAUUCGGGAACUGGAGCCUCUCCUCUGUCACAGUGACAAUCCAUCUCAGCUCAUCUGGACAUCAUCUCGCAAUGCAAGGAAAUCUAAUUUCAGCCUCGAGGACUUCCAGCACAGCAAAGGCAAGGAACCCUACAGCUCUUCCAAAUAUGCCACUGACCUUUUGAGUGUGGCUUUGAACAGGAACUUUCAACCAGCAGCUUCGCUUUUUUGCAAAUGCAUUCACUUUGACACCAUAUAAUGGAACAGAAGCUCUGGUAUGGCUUUUCCACCAAAAGCCUGAAUCUGUCAAUCCUCUGAUCAAAUAUCUGAGUGCCACCACUGGCUUUGGAAGAAAUUACAUUAUGACCCAGAAGAUGGACCUAGAUGAAGACACUGCUGAAAAAUUUUAUCAAAAGUUACUGGAACUGGAAAAGCACAUUAGGGUCACUAUUCAAAAAACAGAUAAUCAGGCCAGGCUCAGUGGCUCAUGCCUAUAAUUCCAGCACUUUGGGAGGCCAAGGCAGAAGGAUCACUUGAGACCAGGAGUUCGAGACCAGCCUGAGAAACAUAGUGAGCCCUUGUCUCUACAAAAAGAAAUAAAAAUAAUAGCUGGGUGUGGUGGCAUGCGCAUGUAGUCCCAACUACUCAGGAGGAUGAGGUGGGGGGAUCUCUUGAGGCUGGGAGGCGGAGGUUGCAGUGAGCUGAGAUUGUGCCACUGCACUCCAGCCUGGGUGACAGCGAGACCCUGUCUCAAAACAUAUAUAUAUUUAAUAUAUAUGUAAAGCCAGAGCUGACAAUGACACUCUGGAACAUUGCAUACCUUCUGUACAUUCUGGGGUACAUGGAUUUCUACUGAGUUGGAUAAUAUGCAUUUGUAAUAAACUAUGAACUAUGA